CACGUAGGAGCCAAGCGUUAUCCGAAUUCACUGGGCGUAAAGCGCGUGCAGGCGGUUCGGUAAGUUGGAUGUGAAAGCUCCUGGCUCAACUGGGAGAGGACGUUCAAUACUGCCAGACUAGAGGGCGACAGAGGGAGGUGGAAUUCCCGGUGUAGUGGUGAAAUGCGUAGAUAUCGGGAGGAACACCAGUGGCGAAGGCGGCCUCCUGGGUCGCACCUGACGCUCAGACGCGAAAGCUAGGGGAGCAAACGGGAUUAGAUACCCCCGUAGUCC
rnacentral:rRNA from 1 species